UGGGGAAUAUUGCACAAUGGGCGGAAGCCUGAUGCAGCGACGCCGCGUGAGGGAUGAAGGCCUUCGGGUUGUAAACCUCUUUCAGCACCGACGAAGUUGACGGUAGGUGCAGAAGAAGCGCCGGCUAACUACGUGCCAGCAGCCGCGGUAAUACGUAGGGCGCAAGCGUUGUCCGGAAUUAUUGGGCGUAAAGAGCUCGUAGGCGGUUUGUCGCGUCUGCCGUGAAAGCCUGGGGCUUAACCCUGGGUCUGCGGUGGAUACGGGCAGGCUAGAGGCAGGUAGGGGAGAACGGAAUUCCCGGUGUAGCGGUGAAAUGCGCAGAUAUCGGGAGGAACACCGGUGGCGAAGGCGGUUCUCUGGGCCUGUACUGACGCUGAGGAGCGAAAGCGUGGGGAGCGAACA
rnacentral:rRNA from 1 species